AGUAGAGUGACUGAGUUUAGAUUAGGUGAUAGAUUGUAAAUCUAUUAAGGGGUUUUGCCCCUCUACUA
rnacentral:tRNA from 1 species